CAGGAGCUGAAUGUCAAGUAGUCAAAGAUGGAGGCUGGAGCGGGGAGGCCAUGAGCCCGGAAGCCACCAUGUUCUGUGAACCAGGGUGUGGGGUAAAGCUUCUGCCCCGCCAGUCUCAAGAAGCUGAUACAAACAAAGCGACUGUGUCUGAUUAGCAAACGAAGAUCGAUGCGCUAGGGCCUGGUCGCACAGGCAGCAUGGCCUAUAUGGAGGCUGCUGCGCUCCGGGCGGAGAAAGCAGCGCGGGGUGCGCGGGCUGGGCCCCCGCCCCAGGUGCCGGGCCCUGGCUCCGGGCCGGGGCUGAUCGCGCGCGGGAUGCCAAGAAAAAUGGGAAGGAGAGUGGUUGCAGGGCACCUUACACACCUCUAAGCCCCUCUACUUCUACUAAAAAGUUUUACUUCAGUAAAUACUGAAUGUGUUUUUGAGACGACGUAUUGUAGACCACAGCCUUUGGUGUCCUGAGAGCAUGAGGAUGCAGAAGUUACAGAUUGAAUCACUCUUUAAACCAACACACUUGAACAGUGUCUCAGAGAUGGAUUAGAGGAGGAAGUUAUGGAUGAACAGAAAGCAUAAAAAUCAAAAAUAAGAAAUGGAAACUGAGAACUAAAAGGGGAAAAAUGACCAGGCAGUCUUACAUACCUUAACCUCUCUCAGGCUCACAGCCAAGUUUCCCCGUUGCCAGCAGGGAACUCAACCAAAAAACCAGCAAACGUGACAGCCAAAGAAUCAGACACUCAGCAAGAUGCUGCUGCUAGAGAGAGAUAUUAUAAGGCCUGGCUUCUGUGCAGGACAGCUGUCAAACAUGGUCCAUCUGUGGUUACAGCUGUUGAUUCCAUUGCUGAAGCAGAGGAGCAGGCAGAAGACAGACGCAGGCUUUGGUAUGACUAACAGGGUCAGAUACACUGCCAAAGACAACUUGCAAUCACAGGCUUGCACUAAUUUGAGUUGCUUAUUUUUAAAUUACAAAAAACCCUCCUAAUCAAUAAGUAUGCCAACCUAAGAGGUGAAAGGAAAUGCUGACUUAGUAGAGAAUCAGUCACAAUCAAACCUACAGUGAGUAUGUACACAUACUGAGCAGUCGCAUAGGGUUUUAAAAAUAAGGUAACAUUUGUGUGCAUGUGUUUGGAUGUGCACAAGUUUCACUCCAACAUUAAUCUGACGACAAACAUUCAAGACAGACUCUCACACACGGAAGUGUGUGAAUGUUAGGUUGAUAUUAGGUCAAUAUUCAGCAGAGACUCCAAAAAUUGUUUUUUAAAACCAAGUAGGCUUUACAUAUCUACUAUCCUUAGUAGAAGACCCUUUUACCCUCAGACUUGAUCUGUUUAGGUCCCUUCUGACCCUAGCUACUAUGACUAUGAUACAUUUGCAUAAAACUAUUUUGAUUUUAUCCCCCCAAAAUCUGUCAGUCCACUACAUCAACUGUUCCACCAUUCCUCUUCCAAAACAUCUUCUCUUAUAGUGCAUCUUUCAAGGUUCUUAUUUAUCUUUCCCAGUUGUGCCUAUGACUAACAGAAGAGUAAGUUGAAUAAACAAAUGCUUAGUUUUGAUUUAAGCUUACAUGCAGAAAGAGCAGUUCUGUUGAGUCACAACUACCAUAACACAGCUUGUUGCACUAAAAUAAAAACAAAAAACCCAGGGAUGAACUCCCUGUUUAAAGUCCUAACUCUUGUGAUGGUCAUAACAGCUCAGUACUGUUGGAAGUUUUCCUUGAAGUCCAAGAAUUGCACUGUGAAUUGUAAGGGGUUCCAGCAACAGAAGGUGAAUACUGAAUAGCACCAUUCCAAUUUCAUUCAUUCUUAAACUCCAGCAAUGUGUGCGCGUGCUGGGAAGCAAAUAUUUCCAAAAUACUUGCAAGUCCAGGAGUUCCAAAAAUGAAAGAAAGAGCUACCACAAGCCAUACUCAUUAUUUUUUCCACACCUGUACUCAUGAUUUUUGUGGCCUCUGUUUAUUCAGUUCAAUG